CCAGCAUUCAGUUGGACGCUCUAAGGUGACUGCCGGUGACAACCCGGAGGAAGGCGGGGAUGACGUCAAAUCAUCAUGCCCCUUAUGACCUGGGCUCCACACGUGCUACAAUGGAUGGGACAAACGGAAGCGAACCCGCGAGGGGUAGCCAAUCCGAGAAACCCAUUCUCAGUUCGGAUUGCAGGCUGCAACUCGCCUGCAUGAAGCCGGAAUCGCUAGUAAUCGCAGAUCAGCAUGCUGCGGUGAAUACGUUCCCGGGCCUUGUACACACCGCCCGUCACACCACGAGAGUUGGCAACACCCGAAGCCGGUUAGGUAUCUUUUACAGCACCCAGCCGUCG
rnacentral:rRNA from 1 species